rnacentral:lncRNA from 1 species
CGGCGAGCUCCGGCGGAGGAUGGACGAUCGGAGGACGUAUCCCGACUCUCCUCAGCUCAAGCUUCGCGAUGGCACUGGUUUCGUGGCGAUCGGGCUUCGUUUGCGAAUCGACGGUCGAGAUCGUCCGCAAAUCUCUCCGGAUGAUCGGGUGUCAGAUUGGAAAAUCAGAAGUGGGAAUCAUCGUCAGCGCGUCGUUGUGAGUCCGAUGGUGUGUCCUGAUCGUCGAUCGGACUCC